UUGUAAGAUUUCUGCACCAAUCAAGGACCUUUAUCCUUCCUUCUCUAGACACUCAUUGGGCUGGUCACAGGCCUCCUUGGGCUUAUACUUCCUAAUAAGCUUUAGAUUUCCUCUGGUCUUAUUAAGACUGUGUCUCUCUCAUUAUACCAUACACUAGCAACUCAACUCUUUGCUUUGCUAGACUCUCUUGGGAACAACUGUUCUGUGGAAGUCAACCUUUAUUAAGCUCAAUGAAAUUUCUCCUGGGCUUCCUUCUUUCCUGUAUCCUCUUGGUAUCAUGGUGUCAAGCACAGUGCUAUGUUAUAGCCUCCGAAGAAAUGUCAAAUAUAAUGAGAAAAAAUAGGAGGAAGAAUCCAUUCCCUAGAACCUGGAGUGAAUGGCAUAAAGGAUGCAAGUCCCUGGAUGGAAAUAUACAUCCCUUCAGAUCUGAAUGGAUAACUAAGAAGUGUUACAAAUGUCAGUGUAAUGAAGAAGGAAUUCAGUGCUGCAACAUAGCUAUUAAACCUAUAAACAUUGAGGAAAAGAACUGUUUGCCCUUUCUGGACAGGGAAACCUGCACAUACAAAAUCCUGAAUAGAAAAGGUUCCACCAAAUCCUGUGUGGUCCAUUCUUGGGUUGGUUAAUUCUGUUCCUUCUUAGUGCCACUGCCAAACUCAUUGCUUCCCAUAAGUAGAUGAGAAGCAAUGCUCCUCUACUUGAAAUGAAUUUUGAUGAACUUGAAGCCUUGUUACAAGUGGGAAAUCCCUUGCUUCUCCCUUCUUGAGAGAUGUUAUCACCAUGACGAUCAUGAUAAUUUGAACCUGAUGAGAAGCUCAGUGGUGAUCCCUGCUCCUUUUCUGGGAUUUUCAGAGUAGAUGAGGCAACAGGGAACAGGAGAAGGCUGGUUUUCUCCUGUCUGCACUGAUUUUCUGAAGUUGGGGCUUAGGCUGGCUAUGAAUUCUCCUCUGGUGCUGUUCACGUACAGAUGAAUCUCAAGGAACAAAGACCCAUUCCCAUGCAAGCCAUAUAGAUCUUCUAAGUCAUCUUCUGAUCUCCUGCAAUCUGCCUAAUGAAUGCUUUAAGAAAAUAAAUUAUUCUUUAAAAUGA